CAAUAGCGUAUAUUAAAGUCGUUGCAGUUAAAAAGCUCGUAGUUGAAUUUUUGCUUGCCGCCGAUGUCGGAACUUCCGUACGUUCGGCGGCGUGCAUCCUUGGGUGGAACCUGUGUGGCAUUAGGUUGUCGUGCAGGGGAUGCUCAUCGUUUACUGUGAAAAAAUUAGAGUGUUCAAAGCAGGCUUAUGCCGUUGAAUAUAUUAGCAUGGAAUAAUAAGAUAGGACCUUGGUACUAUUUUGUUGGUUUGCGCACCGAGGUAAUGAUUAACAGGGACAGUUGGGGGUAUUCGUAUUCCAUUGUCAGAGGUGAAAUUCUUGGAUUUCUGGAAGACGAACUACUGCGAAAGCAUUUACCAAGGAUGUUUUCAUUAA
rnacentral:rRNA from 1 species